AUUGAACGCUGGCGGCAGGCUUAACACAUGCAAGUCGAACGAGUGGCGGACGGGUGAGUACUGCUUGGGAAUCUAGCUUAUGGAGGGGGAUAACUACGGGAAACUGUAGCUAAUACCGCGUACCAUAGGAUGAGCCUAAGUGGGAUUAGCUAGUAGGUGGGGUAACGGCUCACCUAGGCGACGAUCUCUAGCUGGUCUGAGAGGAUGAUCAGCCACACUGGGAUGGAGAAACGGCCCAGACUCCUACGUGAGGCAGCAGGGGGGAAUAUUGCACAAUGGGCGCAGGCCUGAUGCAGCCAUGCCGCGUGUAUGAAGAAGGCCUUAGGGUUGUAAAGUACUUUCAGCGGGGAGGCGUUACCCGCAGAAGAAGCACCGGCUAACUCCGUGCCAGCAGCCGCGGUAAUAC
rnacentral:rRNA from 1 species